CUGCCAGGUAGUGAAUCUCAGCAGCAGCAGAGGGAGGAGGACAGAGGACAGCAGGAAGGACUGAUACUGACUGAUGUCUGAGUUCUUCGUUCUUUCUAAACUUCACUCAGUAUUUUGAUGUCAGGAAUAUUAGGCUUCUUUUACUGACACUUUAGAUUUGUUUCCAGUGAGAUAUUAUUGAGUGCAUAUAAUGACUUUGCUGUUGUGAACUUUACUGUUGCUGCUCUAGAAACAAUAUUUAGUUAUUUUUAACAUAUAAAUCAAUUCUUAAUCUGUUCAGAAUGUAUUCGUUUUUAAAAUUGAUAAUGUAGCUGUUGUUACCGUGGGUUCCCCUGGCAUAAAGACUGACGCAGCAGGGCAUUUUACAGGUUACGUUUUAUUUAUUCAGACCUGGUCCAGGAUGCUGCUGCAUAUAAAGGGGAGAGCAUAAUUAGUCAACAAGACACAGCUGUGACAAUUAGCUCUCCCUGUCGCUGCUCACCUGAGCCCCUCCCCCACCUGUCUCUCUGCAGCUGACAGCUAACUCACUGUUUUCUUGCUAAUGUCUGAGUAUAAUGUGACUACAACCUGUGUUUUAAAAAAAAUAAAUAUUGUAAUAUUAGUCUAAAAUUAUGAGAAAAUGCAUAGUUUUUAGUCAGAUAACAUCACAGUUUCUUGGGGAGGACCCCCAAAUUCCACGACCACACGACCCCCCCACCGCAACCACAGCACCGCGCCGAGCUCUGCCAAUCACAUGCCUGAUUACUGAUAUUACUCUUUCUAAUAAAACUUGCAUUGGGUUAGUCUCUCAGUUCAUUCAACUCGUAGUGGCGAUGAGGUCGUAAAAUGUGUGGAAAGGGUCCUAAAAAAGGUGUUUAAAAGGUAUAAAUUUAACUUCCUGAAUAUACCCUGACUCUGUUCCAAGUAAAAGUCCUGCUUUGAAAAUGUUGUUUCAGUGAAAGUGUGACAGUGUAAUCAGGAAAAAGUGCUUAAAGCAUUAAAGCAGUGCAGCGUCCCUGUGGCUGCUGUGCUGUUAUAUAUUCUAUCAUCAGGUUAUUAUUCCUCGUGCAUUAAUGUAAAGCAGGAUGUUGCUGCUGCAGCUGGUGGAGCUGGAGCUCAUGUUGAACCGGUUUGUAUCGGACUGCAGCUGAUGAUGCUUUUCAUUCUGGAUCCGUCUGCUGAUUCUUUUCUCCGUCGAUCCAUCGAUCGAUCGGUUUGGUUUGUAAAACUUGUGAAAACAGUGAGAAACGCCGUCACGACGACCCAGAGCCCAAAGCGACGCCUUCACCAUGUCGUUGUGUCCGACCGACAGUCCAAAGCUCGACAUUAUUAACAAACAUUACAGUUAUUACAGUCAUUCAGAGGAAAAGCAGCAAAUCUGCACAUCUGAGAAGCUGGAAGUGUUUUAACAUGAAAAAUGACUUCAACCAUCAAAAUAGAUGCUAAUUAAUUUUCUGUCAAUCGACUAAUUGUAUAAACUGUUGGGUAGUUUAAUUUAUAACAAUUUUCACAAUAUAAUGUUUCUACUGUAAUUCCAGACUUGACUGAUAUCAGCAGCAUGUUAUUGAUCUGUGCUGACAUGAUGAUGAUCCACAAUAACAAAAUGACAAAAUCACUCUACUAAUUUUAGGGAGAAGCUCAUUGAUUAGGACAGAGUGAUGUUGAGCUACACUUUCAAACCUGAACACAUCUGAUCGGAUUAUUAAUGGAUUUUUAUCUCCAUCAUUUAUUCUUUAUUCAGAUUGAGUCGCUGCAGUUUGUCAGAGAUCAGCUGUGCUUCUCUGGCCUCAGCUCUGAAGUCCAACCCCUCCCAUCUGAGAGAGCUGGAGCUGAGUGACAACUACCUGCAGGAUUCAGGAGUGAAGCUGCUGUCUGAUCUUGUGGAGAGUCCACACUGCAGACUGGAGACUCUGAGAUGGAAGCCGUGGCCUCUGUCAGUGUAAGUGAUCAGAAAGGCAGUUGUGUUGAGAGGACCAGCUGUGUCCUGAUGAUCCAGAGGUUGAAGCAGCAGCUGGUGUGUGGAGAGGCUCUGACUGGGCCAUGUUACUGGGAGGUGGAGUGGAGAGUUCACCCAGCAGUGACUGACGGAGGAAUCACAGCAAGUGGAGAUGAGUGUCAGUGCUGCAGUGUGAACUGCUCUGAGAUCAGCUCCACUGUCAGACACAAAGGCAAGUCCACCAUCGUCCCUGUGUGUUCCUCUGGAUGUGGCAGAGUAUCGUCAGUGGAUCUGGACUCUCUGCUGCUGCUCUGUCCUUCUACACCGUCUCUGCAGACACACUGAGACUCCUCCACUCCUUCUGCUCCACACUCAGCCACCUCCUCCACCUCCUCCACCUGCACCUGGACUUUAUUUUGGCUUUUUUAUUAUUAUUCAUUCAGAUAUUCUGAACCCAAAGUGCCUCUGCAGCUUUGUUCUGUUGAUGACAACAUAAAUGCAGAUUAACACUUAUUUUAAUGGAUUUUUCUGUUUUGCUCUCUGUUGCAUCUCCACCAUGUAAUAAUUGUAGUUAAUUCCCACUUUAUAUUUCUAAUUAAUUUUGCAAGUUGAUGUGAGAAAGCAGCAUCCAGCGUGCAUGCAUAAAGUUACCGCUCUGAAGUUCUGUUUUUCACCACCAAUGCCAGACUUUUCUCACAGUUUAACAGAUGAUUGUUUGUAACACACUUUGUAAAAUAGUCUCUUUUUCUAGUAUAUCCCAACAGAUUGUGUUAUUGCAGAAAACUGAACUAAAGAACUGAAGUCUGGUGAUAA